rnacentral:rRNA from 1 species
CAAUAGCGUAUAUUAAAGUUGUUGCGGUUAAAAAGCUCGUAGUUGGAUUUCUGCUGAGAACGACCGGUCCGCCCUUUGGGUGUGUAUCUGGCUCUUUCUUGGCAUCUUCUUGGUGAACGUUGCUGCACUUGACUGUGUGGAGCGCUACCCAGGACUUUUACUUUGAGGAAAUUAGAGUGUUUCAAGCAGGCAUACGCCUUGAAUACAUUAGCAUGGAAUAAUAAGAUAGGACUUUGGUACUAUUUUGUUGGUUUGCGCACCAAAGUAAUGAUUAAUAGGGACAGUUGGGGGUAUUCGUAUUCCGUUGUCAGAGGUGAAAUUCUUGGAUUUACGGAAGACGAACUACUGCGAAAGCAUUUACCAAGGAUGUUUUCAUUAA